rnacentral:rRNA from 1 species
CCCUUAGAUGUCCGGGGCUGCACGCGCGCUACACUGAAGGAAUCAGCGUGCUAGAAAACCUUGUUUGACAUGGCUAGGUAACCCGUUGAAAAUCUUUCGUGAUUGGGAUCGGGACUUGCAAAUGUGUCCCUUGAACGAGGAAUUCCCAGUAAGUGCGGGUCAUAAGCUCGCGCUGAUUACGUCCCUGCCCUUUGUACACACCGCCCGUCGCUGCCCGGAACUGAGCCGUUUCGAGAAGACUGGGGACUGCGAACUUUGGGCUGGAAAACAGCUUUUUGUUUGUGGAAACCACUUUAAUCGCGGCGGCUUGAACCGGGCAAAAGUCGUAACA